UGGGGGAGCAUUUGCAGAUUUUCUGGUCAGUACACACUGAAGCACUCCGCUAAAUGAUCAUGGCUUUCCAGUCGAGCAGCAGUGAUGGGGGCUGAUGAGCCAGCGCUGCUAAUUGGCGAAGUGAUCUGGGCGUGUUGUUUUUGUGAAGCAAAUUGCGCGGAAACGUUCCGAGACGUCUGUGUUUGCCCAUUCCGCUCAAACAACACGGCUUUGAGGGGGAAAAAAAAAAACUGAAAGCCAUCCUUCAUUGAUGCAAGU